rnacentral:rRNA from 1 species
UACAGAGGUCUCAAGCGUUGUUCGGAUUCAUUGGGCGUAAAGGGUGUGUAGGUGGCGCGCUAAGUCGGGUGUGAAAUUUCGGAGCUUAACUCCGAAACUGCAUUCGAUACUGGCGUGCUUGAGGACUGGAGAGGAGACUGGAAUUUACGGUGUAGCAGUGAAAUGCGUAGAUAUCGUAAGGAAGACCAGUGGCGAAGGCGGGUCUCUGGGACGGUACUGACGCUGAGACGCGAAAGCGUGGGGAGCAAACAGG